rnacentral:lncRNA from 10 species
CGGUGAAGGAGCUUGUGCCUUCUGGCCAAAAUUUCCCACUCUAGUACUGUUCCUUUUGCUCAUUUCACUUGGCUGAUGUUUGCCUGAAAACUUCCUCCAACUACGCACUCUCUGAGAACUUCCUAGAUGAGGACUUGCUGCUGCAGAGGCUCUGAUAUGCUCUCCUGCUGUGGGGUACACGAGGCUGUUUUUCGGACACUGAGCUUUCUGAGCAUGAUUGAACAUUCAGCUCAAUCUAGUUCAAGGUCUCAGGCUGAAGGACACAGCUUCUACAUGGUGCAUGCUGUUCUCCUGGUGGCUGAAGGAGCAAGUGGAAACAUGCUAUGCCUCUUAAAGACUCUGAUUAUGAUGGAAAAGAACAAGUAAGUAAGACAGGAAAGAAAGAAAGAGAGAGAAAGGAAGGAAGGAAGGAAAGAAGGAAGGAAGGAAGAAAGAAAGAAAGAAAGAAAAAGAAAAGAAAAUAAAAAAAGAAAAAAAAGAAAGGCUUUGCAUAUAUGGGGAGGUAUACUUCUCCAUUUCACCAUGAGAUCUUUUGGCAAAGGGCAUGAGCUUAGUCCCAUUACAAGUGGAGAACUCCACAGUGUGUGACACCAACUAACAGGAUAUAUGUGUAAUGUAAUGACAUAAUUUCUUCUGUUUUAGGCAUAUUAAUUUUAGGUUCCUCUAGCACAUCUAAGUGGACAUGAUGGCAAUUGAAUAUUCAGACAAAGAAAAACAUCAGAAAUGGACUUUAUGAACUUGGUGGUCACUAGAUGUUAAUAUAUAAUAAAAACAUGGAACUAGACAGGAUUGUCUAGUAGGAGUGAAAAGAAAGUUAUUGAUGGAACCCUGAGGAGCACCAAUGUUUAAUGUAGGAAGAUUAGCACACAGAUAAUCUGAAAAGGAAUGGUUAGUGGGUUAUUUAAAAUACAUGGAGAGAAUAGUGGCACUGAAACUAAAAUAGUGGAGACAGUUACUAGAGAGAGGGGUAUACAUUAACGAUCCAGUGAUUCUCAGAUUUUCAAGUCAGCCUUCGUGGAGAUGAGUGUGAAUGAGAUCUUCUCAUCUAACCCGGGAAGUUUAUUUUUAAAACUAAAUUGCUGAUUGAUGCUCAUGGACUCACUAGGGAUACAGUGGAAUGAUAUAAAUAAAACACAGGGUAUGGUUCCUGGCAUUUGCCUGGCACUUGGUAAUUGGUAGCCAUUACCCUGUUGAAAGCUAUGGAGCUUUGAGAAAUUACCAUCUACUUAAUACAAAAUUUCAUGUUAGACUAUUUUGCUUUGAACUUUAUCAAAAGCAUUUUAUUAUUGAAACUAAAAGAAGCAGAAAAAUGUAAUAUUAUGUGAUUUUUAUAGCAUGACCCCUGAAGUUAAUUAUGGUGAAAUUGUAAUAUAGUUGUUUUCAUUAAUUUGAUAUUAAAAAGGGAGAUUGAAAGAUUUGUUGCAUCCCUGUGAUAUCUCCUAUUUAAAAGGUGUCUAAUCCAAAACACUGUUAUCACUAUGACACUAUGAUAUUUGGGUUGAAGCAGUUCUUUGUUCCCUGCCUGUAUAAGUCAUCUUGUUUUAGAGUGAUGUAUUCAUAUUGUCAAAUCAGGAUAAAAGCUGGACAAACAUGUAUGUUUCAAAAUAUCUAGGUACUUUAGAUUAUGGAGAUGAACUAUGCAUUUACAGACUCAUUUUCAGCUUCUGAUAACCAAAGAGCUUGUAGCCUUUGUCCUUAACAAUUUCUUCCAUCCCUGCGUGGUUGAGAGUCCCAGUGUUCUUUCUGGCUGAAAGCAGAUACUGUAUUUUGCUUUGUUAACAGAACAUUGGUUAUCAAGUUCUCUGUCUCUAAUGAUUCUGUUUUAGGGAACUGUCAAUUAAUAAUCUCUGGAGGAAUCAUCAUAAAGAAUUUCUGUAAUGAGAUUAUAAUGCAAAGGUUUGUUUAGUCACAAUAUUUUUUAAAAUUUUAAUUAUGAUUUUCGGGCGAUGACCCCAAUCUUUCCAUCUUUUACAUUCAACUGCCUUUUAAAUGCUGGCUUCCUUCAAUUUCUCUUAUUAUGUUCAUCCUCUUUUUAAAGUUUUUGAGCAUAACUAAAACUACCCUACCUUUGAGAACCCUCUGUCUUCACCUAGUAGAAUAAAUGAAAUGUGGAUACAAAGGCUGAGCAUAUAAAUUACCUUUAAAAAAGAAAAUGCCUUCUACAUAAAGCUUUUUGAUUCCCUUUAGUUUUUUUUUAUUCUAGAGCUUGACGGCUAUUUUUCCUCUCUAGUCCAGUGACCUUGUUAUUAAAGCAUUAUUGUAAAGGUAAUUUAGCACACAUGCCUCAUAGUUAUUAACCGAGUUCUACCACAUUCAAAUACCAAAUAUUCCAGGCUGGUAAAAAUCACUAUGCAAAUAAUCCUUCCUUCCACUAGCAAAAUAUGUUGGGGGAGUGGAGAGGCCAGGGGCUUUUUUAGUAGUCCUGAGUGACAUUUAAGAAUUCUGCUAAAGGCCAGGCGCGUUGGCUCAUGCCUGUAAUCCCAGCACACUGGGAGGCCAAGAGGGGCAGAUCACGAGAUCAGGAGACUGAGACCAUCCUGGCUAAUAUGGUGAAACCCCGUCUCUAUUAAAAAUACAAAAAAUUAGCCAGGCGUGGCGGCGGGCUCCUGUAGUCCCAGUUACUCGGGAGGCUGAGGCAGGAGAACGGCAUGAACCUGGAAGGCG